GGCCAGGUAGCUCAGCUGGUAGAGCAGGGGACUGAAAAUCCCCGUGUCGGCGGUUCAAGUCCGUCCCUGGCCACCA
rnacentral:tRNA from 1 species